AAGUCGUAACAAGGUUUCCGUAGGUGAACCUGCGGAAGGAUCAUUACUGAGUUAGGGUCUCAUCUCGAGCCCGAACCUCCAACCCUUUGUUUAAAACACUUUGUUGCUUUGGCAGGCCCGUCUGACAAUCCUUUUACCGGGAUCGACGACCGCCGGGGGCGUUUAGUCACCUCUGGUCAGUGCUUGCCGACAGCCUAUUCAAAAUUCUUUAUUAAAUAAUGUCUGAAAAAUUAUAACUAAAUAUAAUUAAAACUUUUAACAACGGAUCUCUUGGUUCUG
rnacentral:misc_RNA from 1 species